rnacentral:rRNA from 1 species
UACCUGCAGCUCGAGUGGUAACCGCUAUUAUUGGGCCUAAAGCGUCCGUAGCCGGUUUGGUAAAUAUCUGGGUAAAUCGUGAGGCUUAACUCCACGAAUUUCGGAUAGACUGCCAGACUUGGGAUCGGGGGAGGUCAGAGGUACUCCAGGGGUAGCGGUGAAAUGUUGUAAUCCUUGGAGGACCACCGGUAGCGAAGGCGUCUGACUAGAACGAGUCCGACGGUGAGGGACGAAGCCCUGGGGCGCAAACCGGAUUAGAUACCCGGGUAGUCCAGGGUGUAAACUAUGUGGGCUUUGUAUUGGAGGUCCCACGUGGGCGUCCAGUGCAGAAGAGAAGUUGUUAAGCCCACCGCCUGGGAAGUACGGUCGCAAGGCUGAAACUUAAAGGAAUUGGCGGGGGAGCACAGCAACGGGAGGAGCGCGCGGUUU